rnacentral:misc_RNA from 1 species
GAUGAAGAACGCAGCGAAAUGCGAUAAGUAGUGUGAAUUGCAGAAUUCAGUGAAUCAUCGAAUCUUUGAACGCACAUUGCGCCCCUUGGUAUCCCGAGGGGCAUGCCUGUUCGAGCGUCAUUUCACCACUCAAGCCUGGCUUGGUGUUGGGCGACGUCCUCUUUGGGGACGCGCCUCGAAACGCUCGGCGGCGUGGCACCGGCUUUAAGCGUAGCAGAAUCUUUCGCUUUGGAAGUCGGGGCCCCGUCUGCCGGAAGACCUGCUCGCAAGGUUGACCUCGGAUCAGGCAGGGAUACCCGCUGAACUUAAGUAUAUCAAUAAGCGGAGGA